CCUACGGGUGGCAGCAGUGAGGAAUAUUGGUCAAUGGGCGUAAGCCUGAACCAGCCAAGUCGCGUGAGGGAUGAAGGUUCUAUGGAUCGUAAACCUCUUUUAUAAGGGAGUAAAGUGUGGGACGUGUCCUAUUUUGUAUGUACCUUAUGAAUAAGGAUCGGCUAACUCCGUGCCAGCAGCCGCGGUAAUACGGAGGAUCCGAGCGUUAUCCGGAUUUAUUGGGUUUAAAGGUUGGGUAGGCGGGCGUUUAAGUCAGCGGUGAAAGUCUGUGGCUCAACCAUAGAAUUGCCGUUGAAACUGGGGGGCUUGAGUAUGUUUGAGGCAGGCGGAAUGCGUGGUGUAGCGGUGAAAUGCUUAGAUAUCACGCAGAACCCCGAUUGCGAAGGCAGCCUGCCAAGCCAUGACUGACGCUGAUGCACGAAAGCGUGGGGAUCAAACAGGAUUAGAUACCCCAGUAGUC
rnacentral:rRNA from 1 species